AGCCUCCUGGUGCUUACUGUAGGCUGUGUGCUUACACUGACUUUAUAGAAAGAAGAGCAAGGUAAACCUACCCCACAUACGCCUCAGCCCAGGUCCUGUGCCUGGUCAGUGUUGUGAAUGGUGAGAACAUGG
ensembl:snoRNA